UGAAAGAAAUUCCAUAGUGGGUUACAACAGAGAGCUAUCAGGUCAGAGUAGACAUGCUUCCUUUCCCAAAUACACAUACAGGUUCUAUCUGUUUGGAUUGGCUGUGAUCCAUACACACAGGAUGAAGAGAUCAGGCAGGCAGGGCCUGAUUUGGAAAGAACAAUGUUCUGUGGACAUGGAGAACCAUUCUGAGUCAUGAACAUCUGAUUCUAGUCGGUACCCAGUGAAUAUUAUUAUCAGGAUGGGCCCAAAAUAAAAUGGUCAUUUGGAUGAAGUUUUCCCCCA
rnacentral:lncRNA from 1 species